ensembl:lncRNA
CCUUAGCCUGCGAUGAAGACGAUCCCCAAAGAAAAAUGGUUAGAAAACUAUUAUGGCCCCCUCUAUGUGAAAAGUCUGUCAGAAAUGUCUUCGCUUCCUUAAAAAGAAACAAGCUGCUCCCAGCAGAUCAGAAUGGCUUCACCCGCUUCCCUGCAGUCAGGAAAUUGAUUUUCUGUUCUCUCUUGACUCCCUCUGGACAGUGGAACUCAGUUAUCAAGCUUCACUUCCUGUUCUCCCGGUAACCCUAUUUGGUGAAAUUAGAAUUAGGAGUUUAAUUCAAUGUAGCGCAAAGCCCAAUGAGAUUAGCUUUAUGGUUUCAAGACCUCCACUAGGAAACAGAAUCCUGCGUUCUCUAUUCCUUUUCCAAAAAUUGACCGACAAUCAAAACGGGGCAGGUUUUCCUGCAUAUUGCCCACCUGUUAUCUGGAAACCCAGAUCGAGUGCCUGCUCUGUGGUCAUGCACUGGACAAGAAAAUUUCCCUUUCUGGCUAGAGAGACUCAAGGAAGAUUAGCCCUGAGCUAACUACUGCCAACCCUCCUAUUUUUGAUGAGGAAGCCUGGCCCUGAGCUAACAUCGUGCCCAUCUUCCUCUACUUUAUACAUGGGACGCCUACCACAGCAUGGCUUUUGCCAAGCGGUGCCAUGUCUGCACCGGGAUCUGAACUGGCGAACCCCCGGCCGCCGAGAAGCAGAACAUGUGAACUUAACUGCUGUGCCACCAGGCCGGCCCCAAAUGUGUGCUGUUUGAAGUCAGUAAGUUUGCAGUGAUCUGUUACAGCAGUGCUAGGAAACUAAUACAGCAGGAGAGAAGGCAGCUCAGAGGACUGAUGGGGAGGCUGGAGAAUCUGGCCCAGGUGGGCAGGCACAGGUGAGACCCUGCCCCAGGAAUGGCCUGCUCUGGACACCACUGCCUCUACUGGACUCUUGCCACUGCCUUUGUGGGAAUGUGCUGCUGCUGCCCAAUCCUGUCUCAUCUCACACUAUCAUCUCACCCCCUGGGAUUCAGACAGCAGUAUUGCAGUGACCUCACCUGGGUCACGUGCCCAUUGCCAUCUGCUGGGGCUGAGACAUGGAUUAUCUGACCUUCCUCAGCUUCCGGUUUCCAAGGCAGAGAAUCAACUGGAGAUGAUUGAAGACUUGGACCUGAACCCCGUCAUGUGCCAGAGAGAACAGAGCUGUGAGAAUGACCUGAUGGUUGGGCCUGAAGUCCUCAGGGCCAGCAGUUUGGAAUGAAAGAUAGACAUGAUGCGGGGGAGAAAAGCACAAACUAGAACCCACGAAGACAAACUUGGACCCUGGAGGAGCAAGUGGAGUUCGCGUUUGUCUUCAAUGAUGCAUGUGGCCUGCAGGAUGAGUUGGUAGCCCACAGAGCUGCACACACAGCUGGUCCAGGAUUCGGAGAAGCAGGAGGAGAUUGGGGUGGGGGCUGGAGAAGGGAGGGAGUGGACUCAGCUGCUGCCCCCCACCAAUGAGGUUCCUGUUUGGAAUAAGAAGGACAGCACUUGCAAAGGGCCUGGUCGCAUGUUUGGCCCACACGAGGAGCUCACUAAAGCCAAGUUCUGACAUUCACCACUUUUGCUUCCAUCACCUCUUCUGGGAGCCCUGAUGGGGGAACCCAAUCAAGUCAACAGCUUGAUGGGAUCACCAGGAAGAAGACUCAAGACUCUACGUCAUUUGCCCACCUCCCACAUAGACCUGAUCCCCACAUAGAGGAGGGACAAGGCGCUGGCUCAGAGCUGAGGGGAGGAGGAGGUAACUGGAUGUUACCUGUGUGAAGUGUUCUACGUACAGGUGAUAUUUCAUCCUACUCCUUUGGAAAGGUGUCCUGUAAGCAGAAGGGCUGUCAGUGACCUGCUCUGCUGGUGCCUGGGCCUUUCCAGACCCACCUUGAGUUUCCCUGGAAAUUCGGCUGAGCACUCCCACCUCCCAUGAUGGUCAGCUUGGAGCUCCCUUUAAAGGCUCUGGAUUGAACACAGCCACCUGAAAGGGACCAUGGACAGCCAGCCAAUCACCUGAGAGCUGCUUCCCAGGCUGCCUGGGAAACAUUUCAUUUUCUAUCUGUAGAAUCACAGAUGUUGACUUUUGAUCUCUUCCUCUCUCCUUCUGGGCCUCAAAUCAGUGAUGACAGCUAUUUCAUUUAUUUUUUAUUUUUUUUCUUUUCCCUUUAAAGAGAAAAAGUCAGGAGGGCUCAGACAGGUUGUUAAAAUAUUGGAAGAGUUACAUAUUGGCUACUUGGGUGAGAAAGAAAAGCUAUACCUCUCUCCAUGUGAAGCCAGGGGCAAUCAUCAGAAGGAGGCUGAGUGAGGCAACAUUGAAACAGUGUUUCUUAACCUUUCCCGCGUUUGUAAAUCAUCUAGGGAUCUUGUUACAAGGCACAUUCAAACUCAGAGGGUCUAGGGAGCAACCAGAUGAGAUCCAGCCUGCUAGUUCAGGACCAUGCUUAGAGAAGCAGAUGUUGAAGUUCUUCCUGUCUCUGCUUUGCUCCAGUCCUGAAGUGCAGUGAUUGAUAAAUUCUCUCUGCCAUCUUCAAGCAGCUGGGUUUGUGCAGACAAGAUGCUGGCCAAGCAAACUUCUCUUAGAAGACACUUUAAUAUAAUUAGAACUUACACUUAGAUUUUUAUCACUCCUGCUCUGCUUAAAC